GUAAUACUGGUGUGAUCAAAUGUCAA
rnacentral:piRNA from 1 species